rnacentral:rRNA from 1 species
CCUACGGGAGGCAGCAGUAGGGAAUAUUGCUCAAUGGGGGAAACCCUGAAGCAGCAACGCCGCGUGGAGGAUGAAGGUUUUCGGAUUGUAAACCUCUUUUGGUAGAGAAGUUAAUGACGGUAUCUAACGAAUAAGGAACGGCUAACUCCGUGCCAGCAGCCGCGGUAAAAUGGAGGGUGCAAGGGUUACUCGGAAUCACUGGGCGUAAAGAGCGCGUAGGCGGGAUAGCAAGUCAGAUGUGAAAUGCUAGGGUUUAACCAUAGAACUGCAUUUGAGACUGUUAGUCUAGAGUAUGGGGGAGGUAGGUGGAAGUCUUGGUGUAGGGGUGAAAUCCGUAGAGAUCAAGAGGAAUACUGAUUGCGAAGGCGACUUACUAGAACAUAACUGACGCUGAGGCGCGAAAGCGUGGGGAGCAAACAGGAUUAGAUACCCGAGUAGUC